AUUGAACGCUGGCGGCAUGCCUUACACAUGCAAGUCGAACGGUAACGCGGGGCAACCUGGCGACGAGUGGCGAACGGGUGAGUAAUAUAUCGGAACGUGCCCAGUCGUGGGGGAUAACUGCUCGAAAGAGCAGCUAAUACCGCAUACGACCUGAGGGUGAAAGCGGGGGAUCUUCGGACCUCGCGCGAUUGGAGCGGCCGAUAUCAGAUUAGGUAGUUGGUGGGGUAAAGGCCUACCAAGCCGACGAUCUGUAGCUGGUCUGAGAGGACGACCAGCCACACUGGGACUGAGACACGGCCCAGACUCCUACGGGAGGCAGCAGUGGGGAAUUUUGGACAAUGGGCGCAAGCCUGAUCCAGCCAUUCCGCGUGCAGGAUGAAGGCCUUCGGGUUGUAAACUGCUUUUGUACAGAACGAAAAGGCUCUGGUUAAUACCCGGGGCUCAUGACGGUACUGUAAGAAUAAGCACCGGCUAACUACGUGCCAGCCGCCGCCGUAA
rnacentral:rRNA from 1 species